GCCAGGCGUGGUGGCACAUGCCUGUAGUCCCAGCUACUUGGGAGGCUGAGGCAGGAGAAUUGCUUGAGCCCGGGAGGCGGAGGUUGCAGUGAGCCGAGAUCACGCCACUGCACUCCAGCCUGGGCAACAGAGCAAGACUCUGUCUCAA
rnacentral:SRP_RNA from 1 species